rnacentral:rRNA from 1 species
UAGGGAAUCUUCCGCAAUGGGCGAAAGCCUGACGGAGCAACGCCGCGUGAGUGAUGAAGGUCUUCGGAUCGUAAAACUCUGUUAUUAGGGAAGAACAAAUGUGUAAGUAACUAUGCACGUCUUGACGGUACCUAAUCAGAAAGCCACGGCUAACUACGUGCCAGCAGCCGCGGUAAUACGUAGGUGGCAAGCGUUAUCCGGAAUUAUUGGGCGUAAAGCGCGCGUAGGCGGUUUUUUAAGUCUGAUGUGAAAGCCCACGGCUCAACCGUGGAGGGUCAUUGGAAACUGGAAAACUUGAGUGCAGAAGGGGAAAGUGGAAUUCCAUGUGUAGCGGUGAAAUGCGCAGAGAUAUGGAGGAACACCAGUGGCGAAGGCGACUUUCUGGUCUGUAACUGACGCUGAUGUGCGAAAGCGUGGGGAUCAAACGGG